CAAUUGCAUUCUAUUUAGGCAAUCGAUGAUGAUAGUAAUCAAACAGCCCAAAUGACUUCAGGAUUUUUAGACUGAUCAUUAGCAACAUUUGCUUCCAAGAUAGAGAAAGGAGAAAAAGAUGUUACAGUAACAAGAGACAUCGAUGGAGGGCAUCAAGUUGUUACAUUAAAGCUUCCAGCCAUUGUUAGUGCCGAUUUAAGACUGAAUGAACCCAGAUAUGCUACUUUACCAAAUAUAACGAAAGCUAAAAAGAAGCCCA